UCCUGGUCAUUCAGUCCAGCCUACACACCUGAUCUUAUCUGCUCUUGGAAGCUAAACAAGCUUGAGCUUGGUUAGUACUUGGAUGGAAGAGCAUCUGAGAAAAUUGGGUGCUAUAGGCU
ensembl:rRNA 5S_rRNA 5S ribosomal RNA